AUUGAAACAUCGGGUCUCAUACAAUCACUAAAGUUAAGCAACAUCAAGCCUUGUCAGUACCUAGAUGGGUGACAGUUUGGGAAUACCUGGUGCUGUAAG